GGGCACCCGCGCAGGCUCAGGCGGCACGAGGGGUGCACACGUCAGCUGAGUUCCUAGCCAGACUCCCAGAGUGACGUCGUGACGACGUCAAAGUGGUUCUGUCCUUGGCUCUGGAGUCCCAACUACCUGCAAAGUAGGAGAGAAUGUCGUUCUGAGAAUUCAAAACGCAAAGUUCUCAGUAGAGGGAUUUUAAAGAUCCUUUCUUUUGGAGAAAGAGGGCAACGGUCAGGAAGCCGUUGGCAUCAGGUGCUGGGAGCAUCCGGGGGGACGUCCUGAGCUGGUGGAUUAGCCUGCAUCCCCGGCACCCGUGGGACCGGACCCUGGAGGCCGUCGGGCUUGAUGUGGAAGCGGCCAUCGGUGAGGAGGCAGCUCAGGAGCCGAGAGAGCUUCGGCUCCCUGCCCUCCUUGGCGGGAGGGCCUUGGCCCCCAGCUCCUUGGCUUGGCGUCACAGAGCCACGGGGCCACCCGCCUGCGGGACGGGAGUGAAUCACAGGCUGGACGCCGGUUUCCGGAGUUCUCCCGGAGGGGGCUCUCCUGCCCCUCGACACUCAGGGGCCGCUGAGCCGCCAUCACCUGUGGCUUCCAGGACCUUGAAUGACCACCGUCCCCCCCUCGCCCAACGGAGGCUAGGGUAAAUAACCCUGAGGUCGGGUAACGGAGGGAGCUCGGAAGACGGCGGCUGUGUCGGAGCUCCGGCAUCGCCACAAACUCCGUUCUUGAUCAGGAGGACCCAUUCCUACCCCCACCACGACCAAGGUGCAUCCAGAAACACAUCUGGGACCUUGGGAAGCAGUUGGCCUGGUGUUGAGCGUUUCACCGAGGGCCGAGCGGGAGAGGGUUGAUUAAUUACUGAGGGUGGACAUCGACGAACGUCCCAAAGAGAGGGACAGGAUGUUUGUCAGCGGGCAUCGCGGGUGCGGGGGGACCCACAGGAGCUCCGGGCAGGCGAGGGCAGAGUGGGGGUCUCCGAGGUGGGGCCCCUGUGCCACACUCAGGGCAUUCGUGUGGGCCGUGGAGGCCAGGAGACCACCGGGUCCGUCCCCGUGCACGGUUCCCAGACGGGUCCCGGGUGCGGUGACGACCUUGUCCCCAGGCAGAGUCCCUGAGAACUGGGCUCCCCCACUCCAGCUGUCGGCCUGCUGGUUUUCAGUUCCCCAUUGGUCCUGCGUUCCCAGGGCUGCUAUUGCCCCCCCCAGCUGGAAGCCCGGCCACAGGGCCUGCAGUCCCGGUCCUGCGGCCGACUCGGCAGCUGGGCCCGGGGUUCUGCGUGCCAGCGCCCGUCCCCGCCCAGUGGCCUGUGGUGCCAGCCUGGGGUAGGAACAUUUGUCUCUGGCCACCUCGUAGCGUGGACCCCAGGGACAGUGAGCCCACGCCCAUGUCUGCAGAGGCCAAGACCUGAAUAUGGAUCCAGCCUGUGGGAUCAUCUGGAGAACUUGUCCCCACUCGGUUCUGACACGUAGAAUUUAAGAAUAUUUUCCCACUCGCGAGCAAUCCUUUUCCGAGCUUACCUCCCUGUGGUCGACGCCGGUCGACCCAGGUCGAAGCCUGGGUACUUACGGUCUUUCCUCUCUUCCUCCGACGACUGAUAACACGCCCCGCUGGCAGGGAAGGGUGUCCUCUGACCACUUAUGUGGACCUGACCCGUGUCAGCUAACUUUGUGAAGCUCGACGUCAGAGGUUCUGCCUCUCCCAGAGCAGAGGCGACGGACUGAUGGAUC